rnacentral:lncRNA from 1 species
GGUGCGAUCUGGUUCCUACAAUGAAUAUGCUACAGCCAACAUACACCUCAGAAUUCCGAAUGGCUAGAAGAUCGAGUUAUGGUGUAGUCAAACUAUAACACACUCAAGGUGAACUAUCGAUGUACCUCAGGUCAAAGAACUAGACACACAGCUGCAGCAUCGAGCUAGUCAUCAACGAGAAGGUAGACUUUCUUAUGACUGCUC